rnacentral:rRNA from 1 species
UUAAGCAUAUCAAUAAGCGGAGGAAAAGAAACUAACAAGGAUUCCCUUAGUAGCGGCGAGCGAAGAGGGAAAAGCCCAGAACCGAAUCCUGAUCUGCUAUGUGGGUCGGGAAAUGUGGUGUUUGGUUCAUUCCAUACGGCAAGGCAUGCUCGUUCUAAGUCCACGUGAUUGUGGCAUUUCGCCCAGAGAGGGUGUAAGGCCCGUGAGAGCGGCAUGACUUGUUCACUGGUUUGUUCCUAGAGUCGGGUUGUUUGAGAAUGCAGCCCAAAGAGGGUGGUAAGCUCCAUCCAAGGCUAAAUACAACACGAGUCCGAUAGCGAACAAGUACCAUGAGGGAAAGUUGAAAAGAACUUUGAAGAGAGAGUUCAAUAGUGCGUGAAACCGCUUAGAGGUAAACGGGCAGAGCUGAAGGAGAUCGUGCACUUUGGACUUUCGCUGUGCAUAUGCAAGUGUUUAAGGAGAUCUUUACCGGACUCCCGCGCUUGUGUGUUGUAUGGAGUCGGUCUGUCGUGUGCUUUCGGCACCACGAUCGGUGAAUAGAUGGGCCUGUCACAUGGCGAAAAGUUAAAUGCAUUAUGUCAUAAUUUACAGAUCGUCUGUACAGAAUGCCUGUCGAACACUGAGAAAUGCGAUACAUGACAUUGUGUGCUGCGAUAAGUUGUGGCUAGUUUGUGGUACUCGAUGUUGACUCUUAAAGAGAUGAUGUUGGGUUGCUAUGUGCUGGUCAUGGCCUCUACGCGGUACAUAAAUGAAUCUGUGGUGAUUAUGUAGGCCAAUCUGCCUGACCCGUCUUGAAACACGGACCAAGGAGUUUAACAUGUGCGCGAGUCAUGGGGUCGUACGAAACCUAAAGGCGCAGUGAAAGUAAAGGCUCAUUUAUGUGAGCUGAGGUAGGAUCCUAGUGUGUAUGCGCCUUAGCGCAGCCGCUGGGCGCACUACCGGCUCGUCCCAAGCAUUAUUAUGCGGGGCGAAGCUAGAGCGUACAUGUUGAGACCCGAAAGAUGGUGACCUAUGCUUGCGUAGGCUGAAGCCAGAGGAAACUCUGGUGGAGGGCCGUAGCGGUUCUGACGUGCAAAUCGAUCGUCAAACGUGAGUAUAGGGGCGAAAGACUAAUCGAACCAUCUAGUAGCUGGUUCCCUCCGAAGUUUCCCUCAGGAUAGCUGGCACUCGCGAAAGAAACAGUUUUAUCCGGUAAAGCGAAUGAUUAGAAGUAUUGGGGAAAAACAUUCCUCAACUUAUUCUCAAACUUUAAAUGGGUGAGAGGCCUGACUCUCUUAAAUUGGAGUCGGGCAUUGAAUGUGAGUGCCUAGUGGGCCAUUUUUGGUAAGCAGAACUGGCGCUGUGGGAUGAACCAAACGCUUGGAUAAGGAGCCAAACGCAACGCUCAUCAGAUACCACAAAAGGUGUUGGUUGAUAUAGACAGCAGGACGGUGGCCAUGGAAGUCGGAAUCCGCUAAGGAGUGUGUAACAACUCACCUGCCGAAUCAACUAGCCCUGAAAAUGGAUGGCGCUGGAGCGUUGGUCCUAUACCAGGCCGUUACUGCAAUAAUUCGCAUGAAAGGACGCAGUAACGAGUAGGAGGGCGCCGUGGUGAGCAUUGAAGCUUCGGUCGUGAGACUGGGUGGAGCCGCCACGGGUGCAGAUCUUGGUGGUAGUAGCAAAUAUUCAAGUGAGAACCUUGAAGACUGACGUGGAGAA